AUCGAGUCCCUGUGCGGGAGCCCUUGAAGUAUUUUAUUUUGCUGCUCUUUGGGCUUUAAUGUUAUAAUACGCGCUUAAUUUACAAUUAAGGUUAAGUGACUUAAAUACGUGCAAUGACCUCCCAGGACGAAUCUGCAUUCAGAAAAUAGGUUUUGCUAAUUGAACUUAAUAUAGAUGCAGAAACGGAAAGAGGAUCGAGAACGUCAAUUCAUUCCAAUUAAUCAGCAAGUAAAAAUUAAAACGAAAAGGUACCGACCAAAUUAAAUGCAUACGGAAGGUAACUGAAAGUUUUACAGAUUUGAUUUGACUUCACAAAAACUUGAUGCUUCUAGUGUCUAAUAAAAUACAAUAUUAUUUAUGGGUACUUUAUACCACAGCGACAUGUAUCUAAAAGAAACUUGUUUAAUUUAGUAAAAAAUAUAUACAUGAAACAUAAUUUACAUAUUAACAAUUUUUUAAGUACUUAUACUACUUGUAGCAGUUAUAUAACUUAUAAAAUAUAUAAUAUAUUUGUAACUGUAAUAUUAUAUAUACAAUAAUAAUAUACAAU
rnacentral:lncRNA from 1 species